rnacentral:rRNA from 1 species
UACGAAGGGGGCUAGCGUUGCUCGGAUUCAUUGGGCGUAAAGGGUGCGUAGGCGGCGCGGUAAGUCGGGUGUGAAAUCUUGGAGCUUAACUCCGAAACUGCAUUCGAUACUGCCGUGCUUGAGGACUGGAGAGGAGACUGGAAUUUACGGUGUAGCGGUGAAAUGCGUAGAUAUCGUAAGGAAGACCAGUGGCGAAGGCGGGUCUCUGGACAGUUCCUGACGCUGAAGCACGAAGGCCAGGGGAGCAAACGGG